AUUGAACGCUGGCGGCAGGCCUAACACAUGCAAGUCGAACGAGUGGCGGACGGGUGAGUAAUGUCUGGGAAACUGCAUGAUGGAGGGGGAUAACUACUGGAAACGGUAGCUAAUACCGCAUACCAUCAGAUGUGCCCAGAUGGGAUUAGCUAGUGGGUGGGGUAACGGCUCACCCAGGCGACGAUCCCUAGCUGGUGUAAAAGGAUGACCAGCCACACUGGAACUGAGACACGGUCCAAACUCCUACGGGAGGCAGCAGUGGGGAAUAUUGCACACUGGUCACAAGCCUGAUGCAGCCAUGCCGCGUGUAUGAAGAAGGCCUUCCGGUUGUAACGUACUUUCAGCGGGGAGGCGUUACCCGCAGAAGAAGCACCGGCUAACUCCGUGCCAGCAGCCGCGGUAAUAC
rnacentral:rRNA from 1 species